AGGGUUUGAUUAUGGCUCAGAUUGAACGCUGGCGGUAGGCUUAACACAUGCAAGUCGUGCGAGAAAGUAUCUUCGGAUAUGAGUAGAGCGGCGGACGGGUGAGUAACGCGUAGGAAUCUACCUAGUAGAAGGGGAUAGCCCGAGGAAACUCGGAUUAAUACCGUAUACCUCCUUAGGGAGAAAGAGGGCCUCUCUUGAUGCUCUCGCUAUUAGAUGAGCCUGCGUAAGAUUAGCUUGUUGGUGAGGUAAUGGCUCACCAAGGCUACGAUCUUUAGCUGGUCUGAGAGGACGAUCAGCCACAUUGGGACUGAGACACGGCCCAGACUCCUACGGGAGGCAGCAGUGGGGAAUAUUGGACAAUGGGCGCAAGCCUGAUCCAGCCAUACCGCGUGUGUGAAGAAGGCCUUCGGGUUGUAAAGCACUUUAAGCAGGGAGAAAAAGCUAUAAGUUAAUACCUUAUAGCCCUGAUGUUACCUGCAGAAUAAGCACCGGCUAAUUCCGUGCCAGCCGCCGCGGUAAUAC
rnacentral:rRNA from 1 species